UUCGGAGCUGUAAGACACCCCUGUCUUACCAACCGAAUCUGCCAGAUUUGGGCAAAUCUUGGCAUAAAAGUGCGAUAUGCUGACGCUUGACGCAGAUUUUUAAGCGUCAAAUGAUAGUCACGAAGUAUUAUUUCGACAGAAGCGCCAUCGAAAUUACAAAUGGAUAAUCGUCAUCAUUCAUUCAUUCAUAAUCACAUAUUUAUUCCCAAUUUUUUCCAAUUUUCUUUCAGUUUUUUUAAUCAAUUUUUCAAUUAGUUCAUCUUUCCAAGGCCCUGAAGACGAAUGAUGGUAUGCAACCAAAGUUUCACCAUCCCAGAUUUAAUCCCAAGUUUUUCCAAUUUUUUCCAAUUUUUUCCAAUUUUUUCUGAAUUGAGAAUUAAUUGAAAAAUUGAUUAAAAAAAAUGGGAAAAAAUUGGGAAUAAAUCUUUGAUUAUGAAUGAAUGAAUGAUGACGAUUAUCCAUUUAUAAUUUCGAUGGCGUUUCUGUCUAAAUAAUACCUCGUGACUACAUUUGACGCUUGAAAAUCUGAGCCAAGCGUCAGCAUGAAAUUGCACCUUCAGCUUUGACCGACGUUGACUGAAGAAUGAGAACACGAAACAUCGGGUGAUAAAAAAAGUAAUCAAACGAUGCUCACAUGAUUUGCGGUGUACAAAGUGUUGACUGGAACUGGAACUUGGAUAGUAUUACUAUCAAGUGGGAAUAAUUCUCGGCUAACAUUUGAAUAUAUGUCUGCAAAUUCCCCAGAUCUUUCCACCGGAGUAUUCUCUUCAGAGACGUAGCUUCAGAUCUGGAUGGACUCUGCCCACUUAGCUUAGCCUCACUCAUCAUUGAUCGAAGUUGACUAUUUUUUACAUCCAUUACUCGAUAAUAUUGACCGCCAAAGAACGUCAGAUCAUCCAUGGAGCCUCCAAGUCUAUUGACUAAGUUUAGAAAGGUCCACAGACCUAGCCGACCGAUGUGAUUCAAGAGGUGAAUUAUUUCUGGCAUGCGGUAUGGACAUCUUUUGAUUAUUCACGGUACACAUACUGUUUCUUCUACAUUUUGGCUGAUUAAAAUGACUCUUAGAAUUUUUUGGGAUGACAAA